rnacentral:rRNA from 1 species
GACGAACGCUGGCGGCGUGCUUAACACAUGCAAGUCGAACGGAAAGGCCCUGCUUUUGUGGGGUGCUCGAGUGGCGAACGGGUGGGUAACACGUGAGUAACCUGCCCUUGACUUUGGGAUAACUUCAGGAAACUGGGGCUAAUACCGGAUAGGAGCUCCUGCUGCAUGGUGGGGGUUGGAAAGUUUCGGCGGUUGGGGAUGGACUCGCGGCUUAUCAGCUUGUUGGUGGGGUAGUGGCUUACCAAGGCUUUGACGGGUAGCCGGCCUGGGAGGGUGACCGGCCACAUUGGGACUGAGAUACGGCCCAGACUCCUACGGGAGGCAGCAGUGGGGAAUAUUGCACAAUGGGCGGAAGCCUGAUGCAGCAACGCCGCGUGCGGGAUGACGGCCUUCGGGUUGUAAACCGCUUUCGCCUGUGACGAAGCGUGAGUGACGGUAAUGGGUAAAGAAGCACCGGCUAACUACGUG